ACAUGUCUAUAGCAUAACGUUAAUGCACCUGAUCCCAUUAGAACGCCAUAGUUAAGCGUGCUCAUGUUAGACUAGAACUAGGAUGGAUGAUCACUCAAGAAUUCCUAGUGUUUUACAUGAC
rnacentral:rRNA from 1 species